rnacentral:rRNA from 1 species
ACGCUUCUUUUUCCACCGGAGCUUGCUCCACCGGAAAAAGAAGAGUGGCGAACGGGUGAGUAACACGUGGGUAACCUGCCCAUCAGAAGGGGAUAACACUUGGAAACAGGUGCUAAUACCGUAUAACAAUCGAAACCGCAUGGUUUUGAUUUGAAAGGCGCUUUCGGGUGUCGCUGAUGGAUGGACCCGCGGUGCAUUAGCUAGUUGGUGAGGUAACGGCUCACCAAGGCCACGAUGCAUAGCCGACCUGAGAGGGUGAUCGGCCACAUUGGGACUGAGACACGGCCCAAACUCCUACGGGAGGCAGCAGUAGGGAAUCUUCGGCAAUGGACGAAAGUCUGACCGAGCAACGCCGCGUGAGUGAAGAAGGUUUUCGGAUCGUAAAACUCUGUUGUUAGAGAAGAACAAGGAUGAGAGUAACUGUUCAUCCCUUGACGGUAUCUAACCAGAAAGCCACGGCUAACUACGUGCCAGCAGCCGCGGUAAUACGUAGGUGGCAAGCGUUGUCCGGAUUUAUUGGGCGUAAAGCGAGCGCAGGCGGUUUCUUAAGUCUGAUGUGAAAGCCCCCGGCUCAACCGGGGAGGGUCAUUGGAAACUGGGAGACUUGAGUGCAGAAGAGGAGAGUGGAAUUCCAUGUGUAGCGGUGAAAUGCGUAGAUAUAUGGAGGAACACCAGUGGCGAAGGCGGCUCUCUGGUCUGUAACUGACGCUGAGGCUCGAAAGCGUGGGGAGCAAACAGGAUUAGAUACCCUGGUAGUCCACGCCGUAAACGAUGAGUGCUAAGUGUUGGAGGGUUUCCGCCCUUCAGUGCUGCAGCUAACGCAUUAAGCACUCCGCCUGGGGAGUACGACCGCAAGGUUGAAACUCAAAGGAAUUGACGGGGGCCCGCACAAGCGGUGGAGCAUGUGGUUUAAUUCGAAGCAACGCGAAGAACCUUACCAGGUCUUGACAUCCUUUGACCACUCUAGAGAUAGAGCUUCCCCUUCGGGGGCAAAGUGACAGGUGGUGCAUGGUUGUCGUCAGCUCGUGUCGUGAGAUGUUUGGGUUAAGUCCCGCAACGAGCGCAACCCUUAUUG